GCUGGGCAUGGUGGCGCAUGCCUGUAAUCCCAGCUACUCAGGAGGCUGAGGCAGGAGAAUUGCCUGAACCCAGGAGGUGGAGGUUGCAGUGAGCCGAGAUUGCGCCAUUGCACUCCAACCUGGGUAACAAGAGCAAAACUCUGUCUCAA
ensembl:misc_RNA Metazoa_SRP Metazoan signal recognition particle RNA